rnacentral:tRNA from 1 species
UCCCUGGUGGUCCAGUGGCUAAGACUCCAUGCUCCUAAAGCAGAGGGCCCAGGUUCCUUUCCUGGUCAGGGAA